rnacentral:rRNA from 1 species
UAGGGAAUCUUCUGCAAUGGACGAAAGUCUGACCGAGCAACGCCGCGUGAGUGAAGAAGGUUUUCGGAUCGUAAAACUCUGUUGUUAGAGAAGAACAAGGACGUUAGUAACUGAACGUCCCCUGACGGUAUCUAACCAGAAAGCCACGGCUAACUACGUGCCAGCAGCCGCGGUAAUACGUAGGUGGCAAGCGUUGUCCGGAUUUAUUGGGCGUAAAGCGAGCGCAGGCGGUUUCUUAAGUCUGAUGUGAAAGCCCCCGGCUCAACCGGGGAGGGUCAUUGGAAACUGGGAGACUUGAGUGCAGAAGAGGAGAGUGGAAUUCCAUGUGUAGCGGUGAAAUGCGUAGAUAUAUGGGGGAACACCAGUGGCGAAGGCGGCUCUCUGGUCUGUAACUGACGCUGAGGCUCGAAAGCGUGGGGAGCAAACAGG